rnacentral:rRNA from 1 species
GAUGAACGCUGGCGGCGUGCUUAACACAUGCAAGUCGAACGGGAUCCCAGGAGCUUGCUCCUGGGUGAGAGUGGCGAACGGGUGAGUAAUGCGUGACCGACCUGCCCCAUACACCGGAAUAGCUCCUGGAAACGGGUGGUAAUGCCGGAUGCUCCAGUUGACCGCAUGGUCCUCUGGGAAAGCUUUUGCGGUAUGGGAUGGGGUCGCGUCCUAUCAGCUUGAUGGCGGGGUAACGGCCCACCAUGGCUUCGACGGGUAGCCGGCCUGAGAGGGCGACCGGCCACAUUGGGACUGAGAUACGGCUCAGACUCCUACGGGAGGCAGCAGUGGGGAAUAUUGCACAAUGGGCGCAAGCCUGAUGCAGCGACGCCGCGUGCGGGAUGACGGCCUUCGGGUUGUAAACCGCUUUUGACUGGGAGCAAGCCCU